GGAAGGUGAAAAAACCCCAGGGACUCUGCCAAUCUGCCCUAGGGAAAAUUUCUUCCUGAUUCCAAAUAAGGCAAUCAGCUAAACCCUGAGCAUGUGGGCAAGACUCACCUCGACCCAAGAAGAGCAGGCCUGGGCAGCGCAGGUCUGUACCAGGGAAAGGAGAGUGCUUUCCCCUGGGCGGCAGAGCCUGGGGCUUAGCCAGACUGGUUACAGAAUGAGUCUUACCUCAGAGGGACCAUGUAUUGGCCCCGAAAGAACCAGACUGCAGUGGUGAUAAAGCCUAGCUGGGCUAUGCACUGGAAUGAGAACCAGGUAGGAAGUUGAAAGCAGCAAGGAAAGCCUAGAAGGGAACUUGAGAAGAGAGGUAGGAUGUGCCCAGGGAAACCUGCAGCAAAGAGAAAAGAGCAGCCCUAGCUGUUGAGUACAGAGCCCUGGGCUGCUACCUGUGUCAGGGUGGGACCGGGUUCCUCUAUUGGCCCAAAAUAAGGGGGCAUACACGCACCCAGAGAGGUUACCAAGCCCAGCAAGGGAGCUGCAGGCUGAGCCAGAGCCCCAGCGACAGCAGAACUUUUUUUUCUGGGAAGACCUCUUUGGACUUUUAGUGUGUGACAAGCUGAGCCCCCAAAGCAUUGACUAAAGGUGGUGAGCCGGCCAGAGGGCCGAAUUACCAGGCAGAGAGACUGCCAUGGUGCUGGAGUGACCGUCGAUGAAGGACCAGAGGGCACCUAACAAUGAGAAAAUUCAUUGAUUAUUGGCAUCGUCAGCAGCACUGAAUUCCCCCUGUCAUCCAUGAGGGCUCAUGGAAGUCUUGGUUACUGAAGGAAGGUCCGUCCCCCAAAGUGGGAUUUCCAAUUUGAGUUCCAGGGACUGGGUAAGCAGCCAAGGCAGCAGCUCCUAGAAACUCCCCAGAAGCAGAAGGAAGUACAAGCAGAGCUACAGAGGCAGCUGGUAAUCUUGAGGGAGCAGCAGCAAUACCUGUGAGAGAUCCUGCAAAGGGAAAUCAACCUGUCUUGGUUAAUGAAGGAAGGUCCAAAGUGGGAUUUCCCAUUUGAGUUCCAGGGACUGGUUAAGCAGGCAAAGCAGGGCUCGGGGUUUCUCCAGCAGCUCCUAGAAACCCAACAGAAGCAGAAGGAAGUGCAAGCAGAGCUACAGAGGCAGCUGGUAAUCUUGAGGGAGCAGAGAUCCUGCAAAGGGAAAUCAACCUGCUACGCCCAUGGACAAAAAGAGCUGCCUCAGAGAGCAUGCCGGGGCUGUGCUGAGAAGGUUAGCCCAGGAGAGCAGGGCAUGAGAAAGUGUACAAGCAUAGCCUAAUGCCAACAUGGGAACAAAAGUUCUUUGGUUUGGGUGCAGAGAAGCAGGCCAUAUGGAAAGACCUGUCCUGCAUAGGAAAUUCCUGAGUGGCAAAAGGAGGGGCCAGAGCCUCACGAAGGUAGAAAGAAAGGAGAAGGUGUCCUCUUGGACAAACACACCUGAGGCAGGCUAGGUGGAGAUGGCAGGGAUGGCCGUGGACCUUGCAGACCCUCCUCCAACACACCCUGUUGGGUGCUGCAGGGAGGUGAAGGAUGAAAUGGUUGGCACAGAGAUGAAUCAGGCACAAGAGUUGAGCAGUGGUGUGUGCUGAGACCCUGAUGGAAAAGGUUUUGGGGGAUGCAGCGGCAGUAGAAAAAAGGCUACAGAAGAAGCUGGUGGCUUCAGAACAAGGCUCUGCAAGUAGUUGUUCAUGAGAAUGAGUGGCUGCAGGAAGAGCACUGGGAUACUGCAGAAGAGAAGGAUGGCCUCUGAGUUCUGGUGAGCGAGGUGGCAGGGGAGCUGGAGUCGCCGCUCGCCCAGGCUGUACGAGUGCAUAGCUGGUGCCAGUGACGUGAUGGUGAGGGAUGAAGAUUGGACAAGAGUAGAACUUGCCCCUGGGUUGGGCCGGAUUUUAAGGAGGAGGGUAUAUAACAGGGUGGCUUGGCCUGUGGCUGCAAAGCCUGGAGCUAGGCCAGAUUGAUGACCAAGUGAGCCCCACCUGAGAGGAAACAAGGGAAAACAGCAGCAAAAGUGCAGAAGCAGCCCUAGCUGUUCAGUAUACGGUCUUGGCCAAAACCUGGAGUCCAGGGUAGGACUGGGUUCUCCCACCGUCCCUAAGGAAGGGGACAUAGAAGACCAUAGAAACCCAAGAAGGGCAGACCAAGCUGAAAUCAGGCUGAGGACGAGCUCCCCACAAGGGUGAAAGGCCUUGUUUCUGUUCAAGACAUUUUUGGACUUUGUUUGGAAGGAGCGUGACCCAGGAAGGAGUGGACUAAAGGACAGUCACCUGGUUGGAGGGCUGAGUUCCCAGCCAACAAACUGCAAGAGUGACUAUCAACGCGGUUACUAGCCCAGCUAGAAAGCAGUGACACGAGGCCUGGCCAGGAACUAGCGGAGAUGUCUGGUGAACUACCUGUGGACUCUGUGCCCCGCACCACUCUGAAAUUAUUCGCUACCUUCAAAGAAACGGCACAGCUCAGCCUGUCUCUGGCCCAGCCUCUUCCACAGACGUAUGCUGCAGCCAGCCCAGCUCAGAGAGCAGUGGAGACACAUGAUCUCAUCCUGUCAAACCAAGCAACAUGGGUCCCAUUGAGGCUUAGAUGGAAGAUCCCACACAUCUCCUGGAGAGGACGUGUCCGGGAUCCUGGAGACUGUUUCCUGCAAGAGGUUUGAGCGGGGAGAGAUCACCCACUGUCAUGACCCAUGGGUCAUUAACCCGGGUCUGCAGGGUUCACGGGAGCAGCCACACUCCAGCAGGCCACCUGGAAGCCUACUAAAAACUGCUUACCUACGACUUACGAAGUCCAGACCCAGUUUGAGGCUCCAUCCCUGAGGCCUAUUGGCAGAGUCCCAGAGCAGCUAAUCGGCCCCCGGGACCUCCUUAAACCAACAGCAGGAACAAGAAGCUGUCUGAACACCCGAGCUCCCCCGUCUUCUGGACCAUGUGUUAGCUGUUCCUGCUCCCACUCCCCAGGCUUGAUCUCCUGGCAUCCUGACUCGCUGUGACUCAUCUGAGUUGAGGUUCUGAACACAGUUUGGUCUUUUGCUUCUGCUCCUCCAGUAUCCUGACCCAGCUGACUCUCGACUCCUGUCUUCUGAGUGUAGACUCUGCCUCUGACCACUAGGUCUGGCUGCCCAUGACCCGGCCAUGACACUGACUUUUCUACAAUUCCACCAGUGCCCUUUUCUGCUCUCCAGCUCUGCUCUCCCAGCAAGACACACCGUCACCAAUCCCCUGGCUCCCAAAGUCCUAGUUGCUGCUAUUCAAGGGCUCAGGGAUAGUGCUAGUAUUGCCCCCUCCCCCACCACAGCUGCUUUAGUUAGCUCAAAUAGCAUAUCAGAUCAUUAAAAUGUCCGUCGUGUGUUUUGAAAUCUGUCUUCCUGAAAGGCCAU